rnacentral:lncRNA from 1 species
GGACUAAUAUUUUUCAUUGAAUUGGAAUCUGGUCCUGCCGGUGCUAAUGACAGAGCUAGUGUCUUAUAUUGAACUCUUUCAGUUCAUUUUAGCAACUUAGUUUUGGCAUGUUUAGUCACAUCUAAACAGUCAAUACAAAAAAAAUCGAGAAUUACCGGCGAAAUUACCGGCGGCGAAAUUUCCGCCGGUAAUUACCGGCGGCCCAACGACGCCGAAAGAAGGCG